CCCAUAUCCCUUUUAAUAUGGCGCUGGCGACAGGGGACCCAAAACCUGGUUUUUGGGCGCACCCGAUCAUGGCGCGUUAGUUCUGAUCGAGGCUCACGUACGUUGAUACGUGGACUCCUUCACUUAUCGUUAUCCCUUCAUUUUUUUUUAGACUAAUAGAUCUAACGGGUCUGUUUAAGCCGUCAGAUCAAAACCAACACCUCGCACUCCUCGGUCCUAGCCGCCUUGCUCCUGUGGUCCGGUCGCCUUUGUCCCGCGCUCCGUCCGCCUUUCUCCUCGAGGUCCGGCCGCUCCCCCUUUCCCCGAGGCCCCACGGCAGCGUCGCCGCCGCCCAACCGCUUGGUCCACAAGCUAGGAAUCUGGGCCGCCCUCCUCGCCGUGGUGGCCCUGCUGGCCGUCAGCGACAGAAGCGGGGUGGAGAGUUUUAAAGCUUAUCUGGUAUAUUUUCUGUGUGCCCUGCAGCAGUUCUUCAGUGCGCAUAAAAAAGACAAGCAGUUCAAUUACUAAAAUACUAAAUUCAUUUUUCAGUUCAGUUCAAUUGACAAAUUUAGAUCAGUCCAAAUCCUUGUUAUAGUUUCUGUUCAAAUUCUUAUUACGUAGUGCCUGCAUGCUGAUCCAUCUACAAGUAGACAACAAUUGCAGGAUCUGCGCACAACACUCGGUAAGAUAGCAUUUCUUCUGUCCCAGUUUUAUGAAGGCCAGCAAAAGCUCAUCAAUCCCCCAAAAAUCACAUUUUCGGUGCUUGCCGACGCUAGCCUUGAGUUGUAAGCGACUACUGUAACUACACUGACUACAAAAAUUGCAGCGAGAAUGGGUGUAGAAACUUCGAGUACGGCACCCUGCUGCAGCUCCGCAUCAGGCAGAAGCGCCGCAUGGAGCAGUUGCCUUCUGCUCCCAUACCUGUCGAUGCUUUAGAUUUCCAUACAUGAAUAUAAAUGUAUGUGUAGUCUCCAUAGUAAGAAAAAUGCAGACUUGUUCAGUCACGUGGUGUGUAGUUGCUGUUUGGAAUUCAUGCAUGUUCUGGUUCAUGCUGAAAUUAUGUCAUGAAAAGAAGUCAUCCCAUCUACUUUCAUGAUGGGCAACCACUUUAUUUGAGUGGAUAGCUCUGAGUUCUGACUUGCAUUCAUAGUUCUAAGUUCUAUAGUUCUUCAAUUUCUUAGUCGUACAGUGGUAUGAUCCCCUUGACUCAUGGCUCCUUUCUUUCCAUGUUAUUGGUGUGUCAUCGUUUGCAUUUGUCAGUGCCACUAGCAGUACAUAAUUUGCAAUGUCGUUCUAUUUCACAACUAAGACAUAAAAAGUUGAGAUUCAGAAGACAGGUUCGGCCAUAGCUGAAGGGAAACGGCAUGUCGAUGGUGUUCUAUCUUCUAUCCUAUAUCUAUCUUGGUUGCUCUUUGUUUAAUUACUUUGUAAUUAUUUCAAUUUUGGUUAAGUCUUUUCUCUGAUAUAUCUGUUGUAAAUUGUAGGUACCGAGGCAAAAUUCAUAGUUGUAGUUGUCUGCAAUUUACUAUGGCAAAAGGUCAGAAGAUUGUCCUUCCAGCGCGUCUGGCCACCUCCCCGUAGCACCGCCUCCAUCUCGCGCGCCGCCCCGCUUCCCCACAGCGUGCUGCCGCAGGCAUAACCCUACAUCGCACAUUGAGAAAUGGUGGCACGCGGGGUGUGAGGCGGCGUCUCCCCACCAUUUUUGUAGGUUGCCGCAAAAACAAGAUGCACAAGUUCAUCUUUUAUAUGCUUUUCAGUACAUCUACUUUCCAAUGGGUACGUCCAACGACAAUGAGUAGGCGGCAAGUGUACUGGUGAGCAGCAGGACGGAGGCAUGAGGCAGUUGAGUAGGUGUGUGCGGUGAGCAGCUACUGAACUGAUUCUGACACUGGAAUAUUAGUCCCACACAGCCUCUCAAGACCUUGUCAUUGUCUCUGAACCUGGUGGUCUUCGUGGCCCUGCUUGAACCUUCAUGGCUCAGGCCGUUCAUUACCUCCACCCCGAGGUCGUUCGACGAUGCAGCGCUCAAGCCGUUCACCCUUACCACCACAAGCCGUUCACCUCCGCCACACGAGGCAGUGCGACGACGCAGCAAUCAGGCGGUUCACUCUGCCACCACAAACCGUUCAUCUCAGCCAUAGGAGGCCGAUGCAACACUAAGGAUGUUGUGUUCUUUUUCAGUACAUGUUUUGUGUGCUUAUCAGUUAACCUACUUAACGAUUAUAUGUACAAUUUCCCCUUGGUUUACGUGUUCUUCCUAUAGCACAACAGGUGUUGUGUGUCAUGCCUUAAUAAGCAUUUUAUAAAACCUUGUAUGGAUCGAAACUAGCAUAUGUUAUGUUCUAUUCUUGUAAA